GAUGAGCAUGGGGAUGGUUGGUUGGACUCAGGUAAGGCCAGUGACCUUUCUGUCUGUAGCUGGCCUGUGGAACCCAUUCAGUGGACUCCUUUCCCACUUCUGCAGCAACUGGCUUCCCACAGGACACCCACAGUGAGGGUGUCAAGGCCACGGUCCUACUGUGAAGGCAUGGAGCUGGUAGACCUGGGGAAGAGCUGGACUGCUUGACAUACACAAAGAAGAAUAAUAUCUGUUCUGACACUGGUAUUUGCAGCUUAUUGUUGUAUUCUAGGCCUCAAAUGUUCUUGUUUUGUUGAUAACAACUGUAAAACAAUAUGUAAAUGUGUGUGUAUAUUAAGUGUAUAUUUUUGGUAAAUUGUUGCUACAUUUUCAAUGUGUUUCUUAUAUUUUCCCUCUAACCUUCUGAUGUAGGGUGUAAAAAUAGAAAAAGAAAGAGGCAGUCUGAAUGUCUAUGGCACAGAUUUGUAGAUAAUGCUUUAAUAAACAUUAAUCGUACUCAGGGCAAUUCAAACAAGUCAUCGCUUAGCAAGGAAAGUUCAAUUGUUUGUCACAUUACAUAUGCAAAGGCAGUUAAAGUGCUCAACAUAAGGCAUUAAAUCAUUUUACAGGGUGAAUUACAUAUAUAAAACAUAAAUAUGAUAUAAAGAUAAAUCAAGAUGUAAGUGAAAAGUGCUUUAAUAAAUUUGACAUUUUGGGAAA